UACGGAGGGUGCGAGCGUUGUCCGGAAUCACUGGGCGUAAAGGGCGCGUAGGCGGCCUGAUAAGUAGGGGGUGAAAUCCUGCGGCUUAACCGCAGGGCUGCCUUCUAGACUGUCAGGCUAGAGCACAGUAGAGGCAGGUGGGAAUUCCCGGUGUAGCGGUGGAAUGCGUAGAGAUCGGGAAGAACAUCAGUGGCGAAGGCGGCCUGCUGGGCUGUUGCUGACGCUGAGGCGCGACAGCGGUGGGGAGCAAACAGG
rnacentral:rRNA from 1 species